UGGGGAAUUUUCCGCAAUGGGCGAAAGCCUGACGGAGCAAUACCGCGUGAGGGAAGACUGCCUAUGGGUUGUAAACCUCUUUUUUCAGGGAGGAAUAAAUGACGUGUACCUGAAGAAUAAGCAUCGGCUAACUCCGUGCCAGCAGCCGCGGUAAGACGGAGGAUGCAAGUGUUAUCCGGAAUCACUGGGCGUAAAGCGUCUGUAGGUGGUUUAAUAAGUCAACUGUUAAAUCUUGAGGCUCAACUUCAAAAUCGCAGUCGAAACUAUUAGACUAGAGUAUAGUAGAGGUAAAGGGAAUUUCCAGUGGAGCGGUGAAAUGCGUAGAUAUUGGAAAGAACACCGAUGGCGAA
rnacentral:rRNA from 1 species